CCGAGUCGAGAGGUGUGCGUACAAAUGUGAAACAGUCAAGUGGAGGCUGCUGCUGACACACGUCUGAAUGAGAUGCCUGUCUAAUGAGUCCACAGAGCAAGAACCUUCAUCAAAUGAUACUAAAAUACUCUUGAACUGUCUGUACUAACCAAGGAGGCGAAGAAGGCCACAGAUUCUCCACAAUCAUGCUGAAGCAGUUUAACAUCUUAAAGCAGUUUGGAAAUGGGGGGAAGUCACAAGAUGCAACUGACCUUCUCACAGAGGAUCUGGUUUUGGUUGAACAGCGCGUGGAGCCAGCCAAGAAAGCUGCCCAGAUCAUCCAUAAGAAGUUGGUGGGUUGCCUGCAGAGUCAGCAGGGACUGGACUCGGAAAGACGAAUGGUAAACUGACCCAACAUUUAAUCAUGUGGUUUGUAAGUGUGUUGGACCAGCCUUUGAAGCAGAUUAAGCAGCG